GACGAACGCUGGCGGCGUGCCUAAUACAUGCAAGUCGAGCGAAUCUCAGGGAGCUUGCUCCCAAAGGUUAGCGGCGGACGGGUGAGUAACACGUGGGCAACCUGCCUAUAAGACUGGGAUAACUUCGGGAAACCGGAGCUAAUACCGGGUAAUACUUUUCUACUCAUGUAGGGAAGCUGAAAGACGGUUUCGGCUGUCACUUAUAGAUGGGCCCGCGGCGCAUUAGCUAGUUGGUGAGGUAACGGCUCACCAAGGCGGCGGUGCGUAGCCGACCUGAGAGGUUGACCGGCCACACUGGGACUGAGACACGGCCCAGACUCCUACGGGAGGCAGCAGUAGGGAAUCUUCCGCAAUGGACGAAAGUCUGACGGAGCAACGCCGCGUGGGUGAAGAAGGUUUUCGGCUCGUAAAACUCUGUUGUUAGGGAAGAACAAGUACCAGAGUAACUGCUGGUACCUUGACGGUACCUAACCAGAAAGCCACGGCUAACUACGUGCCAGCCGCCGCAGUAA
rnacentral:rRNA from 1 species